AUACGGAGGAUGCAAGCGUUAUCCGGAUUUAUUGGGUUUAAAGGGUGCGUAGGCGGUUUGCUAAGCGGGAGGUGAAAUGCCGGCGCUCAACGUCGGAAGUGCCUCCCGAACUGGUGGACUUGGAUGACUCUGCCGUGGGAGGAAUGUGUAGUGUAGCGGGGAAAUGCUUAGAGAUUACACCGAACACCGAUUGCGAAGGCAUCUCACGAAGGGUUGAUUGACGCUGAGUCACGAAAGCGUGGGGAUCAAACAGGAUUAGAUACCCUGGUAGUCCACGCAGUAAACGAUGAUGGCUAACCGCUGGGCUUAUCAGUUCAGUGGCCAAGCGAAAGCGAUAAGCCAUCCACCUGGGGAGUACGACCGCAAGGUUGAAACUCAAAUGAAUUGACGGGG
rnacentral:rRNA from 1 species